UACGUAGGGGGCAAGCGUUGUCCGGAAUCAUUGGGCGUAAAGAGCGUGUAGGCGGCUCGAUAAGUCUGCUGUGAAAGUCCAGGGCUCAACCCUGGAAGGCCGGUGGAAACUGUCGGGCUAGAGUCCGGAAGAGGCGAGUGGAAUUCCCGGUGUAGCGGUGAAAUGCGCAGAUAUCGGGAGGAACACCAAUGGCGAAGGCAGCUCGCUGGGACGGUACUGACGCUGAGGCGCGAAAGCGUGGGUAGCAAACGGG
rnacentral:rRNA from 1 species